UUCCGGUUGAUCCUGCCAGCGGCCACCGCUAUAGGAAUUCGAUUAAGACAUGCGAGUCGAGAGUCGUAAUGGACUCGGCGGACUGCUCAGUAACACGUGGAUAACGUGCCCUUAAGAGGAGGAUAAUCUCGGGAAAUUGAGGAUAAUACUCCAUAGAUCAUGGGAUCUGGAAUGACCCAUAGUUCAAAGUUCCGGCGCUUAAGGAUCGGUCUGCGGCCUAUCAGGUAGUAGUAGGUGUAAUGUACCUACUAGCCUACGACGGGUAUGGGCCUUGAGAGAGGGAGCCCAGAGUUGGAUUCUGAGACACGAAUCCAGGCCCUACGGGGCGCAGCAGUCGCGAAAACUUCACAAUGGGGGCAACCCCGAUGAGGGAAUUCCUAGUGCUAGCACAUUUGUGUUAGCUUUUCUUUAGCUUAGAAAACUAGAGGAAUAAGGGCUGGGUAAGACGGGUGCCAGCCGCCGCGGUAAUAC
rnacentral:rRNA from 1 species